CGUUAGUUUCAUAAUUGAAAUUUAAAAUAAAAUAAAAUAUAUGCCUAAGAGAGAUCCUUUAUGACUGUCUAUAUCCUCUUUCUUCUUCAUCAAGCCUCUCUAUUUAUUAUCUUCCUCGUCAAGCUAUUUCUCUCGUCCAUAAGAUUUUUCUCCCAAGUCUCUUUCUUAUCUUCUAAACCCUAUGUGCCAUCUUUUCGAUUCA
rnacentral:lncRNA from 1 species